rnacentral:rRNA from 1 species
UCGCGGCCUAUCAGCUUGUUGGUGGGGAAACGGCCUACCAAGGCGAUGACGGGUAGCUGGCGUGAGAGCGUGGCCAGCCACACUGGAACUGAGACACGGUCCAGACUCCUACGGGAGGCAGCAGUGGGGAAUAUUGCGCAAUGGGCGAAAGCCUGACGCAGCGACGCCGCGUGGGGGAGGAAGGCCCCAGGGUUGUAAACCCCUGUCAGGUGGGACGAACCACGGAUCGGUUAAUACCCGGUCCGCCUGACGGUACCACCAGAGGAAGCUCCGGCUAACUCCGUGCCAGCAGCCGCGGUAAUACGGAGGGAGCAAGCGUUGUUCGGAAUCACUGGGCGUAAAGGGCGCGUAGGCGGUCGGGUAAGUCGGGUGUGAAAUUCCGGGGCUCAACCCCGUGAACUGCACCCGAUACUGCUCGACUAGAGAGAGGUAGGGGCGAGUGGAAUUCCCGGUGUAGCGGUGGAAUGCGUAGAUAUCGGGAAGAACACCGGUGGCGAAGGCGGCUCGAUGGGCCUCUUCUGACGCUGAAGCGCGAAAGCGUGGGGAGCAAACAGGAUUAGAUACCCUGGUAGUCCACGCCGUAAACGAUGGGUACUAGGUGUUGGGAGGAUUGACCGGUCUCAGUGCCGACGCUAACGCAUUAAGUACCCCGCCUG